rnacentral:lncRNA from 1 species
GAGGAGCAGGACAACAUGCUGGGCUCUGGUUUCAAAGCUGAGCGCUUACGAGUCAAUUUGAGAUUAGUUAUAAAUCGUCUUAAACUGUUGGAGAAAAAAAAAAGGAGCUAGAUUCUGGUCUGGCUGAAUCUGUGUCUACACUGAUCUGGGCCGCUCCUCGGUUGCAGUCAGAAGUGGCUGAGUUGAAAAUAGUUGCUGAUCAGCUCUGUGCCAAAUACAGCAAGGAAUAUGGCAAGUUGUGCAGGACCAACCAGAUCGGGACUGUGAAUGAUAGGCUAAUGCAUAAACUGAGUGUAGAAGCCCCACCCAAGAUCCUAGUGGAGAGAUACCUGAUUGAAAUUGCCAAGAAUUACAAUGUGCCCUAUGAACCUGACUCUGUGGUCAUGGCAGAAGCUCCCGUUGGAGUGGAGACAGAUCUUAUUGAUGUUGGAUUUACAGAUGAUGUGAAGAAAGGUGGUCCUGGAAGAGGAGGAGGGGGCGGGUUCACAGCCCCAGUUGGUGCACCUGAUGGGACCAUGCCCAUGCCCAUGCCCAUGCCCAUGCCCAUGCCAUCGCCAUCUCCAAAUGCUCCCUUCGCAUACCCACUGCCAAAGGGACCAGUUGAUGACAUUAAUGCUGAUAAAAAUGUUUCUUCGGCACAGAUUGUUGGACCCAAGCCAGAAGCUCCUGCAAAGCCCCCUUCCAGACCUGUGGAUAACUACAACACCUUUGUACUGCCAGAGUUGCCAUCGGUGCCAGACACACUCCCGACCGCAUCUGCCGGAGCCAGUACCUCGGCGUCAGAGGACAUAGACUUUGAUGAUCUUUCCCGGAGAUUUGAGGAGCUGAAAAAGAAAACAUAGGUCUCUUAAACCAGGCAACAUCCACGAUCUGGAAGUUGAU